CGGAGGAAAAGAAACUAACAAGGAUUCCCCUAGUAACGGCGAGUGAAGCGGGAAGAGCUCAAGCUUAAAAUCUCCGUGCAAGUUUUGCGCGGCGAAUUGUAGUCUAUAGAGGCGUGGUCAGCGUGGGCGCUUGGGGCAAGUUCCUUGGAAGAGGACAGCAUGGAGGGUGAUACUCCCGUUCAUCCCUGAGUGGCUCGUGCGUACGACCCGUGUUCUUUGAGUCGCGUUGUUUGGGAAUGCAGCGCAAAGUAGGUGGUAAAUUCCAUCUAAAGCUAAAUAUUGGUGCGAGACCGAUAGCGAACAAGUACCGUGAGGGAAAGAUGAAAAGAACUUUGAAAAGAGAGUUAAAGAGUACCUGAAACUGCUGAAAGGGAACCGAAUCGUUUCCAGUGUCUAUAAUCCGUGGCAUAUUUCAUUGGCGAGUGUGCGCGUGCGUGUGCUGUGGCAGUGGCUUUUUUGGCUGCGCUCGGUGUGUGUGCUGUGUGUGCUUGCUGGUGCCCUGUGCUGCGGUGGGACGUCAAGGUCAGUUCGUAUGCUGCGGGAAAUGGCUGCCGAGGAGGUAGGGCUUACGCUCCGCGUUUGUCUGUUAUAUCUUGGUGGACGAGUCGUCGCGGUUGGGACUGAGGUGCCUACAACGUGCUUUUGAGUGGGUUUGUGUCUCCGUGUGCGCCGUGUGCGGAUAGCUUGCUAUGCGUGUGUGGUUGUGUGUGGAUUGAUGCGGGCUUUAACUUGUCGCCGUUCGGGACGUUGACGAAAUGGAGCGAUCCGACCCGUCUUGA
rnacentral:rRNA from 1 species